ensembl:lncRNA
GCAGAGGACGGCGCCACGGGAGCCAGCCCCUAGGUGGGGCCGGGGCCCAGACCUGGGCCCGGAAGGAUGCUGACCCCUCUCCCCACCCCAGGGCCCUGCGAACCAUUUGGUAACCCAAGUAAUGGCACAGGGGCGGCCUGACCCGUUGUCGCUGGUGCGUUCUUGGGUGCUGAAGCCCUGAUGGAUGUGCCAAGCCUGGGGUUUUUUCAGUUUUGUUUUCCUAUCUAGGUUCAUUUUUGCCCUGUCACUACUAGGCUAGAGAAAUAUAAAUCCUGAUUUCCCGCGGGAAGCAAUUAUUAUUAUUACUCUUUUUGCUUUCCCCGAGCAGUGGGACAUAGUAUGUGUUUGUUUGAUCUCGGGACGGUAUUUAGGCAGAUGACAUGGAAAGGGACUCACCCAAAAUGCUUGCAGCCAGCCACAGCUGCUCAUCCUUUAUACCGGUUACCCAGCCCGAAUUUCCUAAAUCUAUGUUGUCUCUAUUUCAAAUGUUAUCUCCUAAUUUAGGACAAGAAUGCGUUUUUCAUUCUUCGUCUGCCCGCUACCCAACCCUCUCCAACCUAGAACUCUUCACUGAGGGACUACAGCAUUCCCACAAGAAAUGUGUUUUGUGUGUGUGUGUGAGGAAGAUUGGCCCUGAGCUAACAUCUGUUGCCAAUCUUCUUUUUUUUUUUGCUUGAGUAAGAUUGUCCGUGAACUAACAUCUGUGUCAGUCUUCCUCUAUUUUAUGUGGGAUCCCUCCACAGCGUGGCUUGAAGAGCGCCACUAGGUCCAUGCCCAGGAUCCAAACCUGCAAAUCCUGGGCUGCCAAACCAGAGCACAUGAACUGGCAGAGCUAUGCCACCGGGCUGGCCCACAUAAGGAAUGUUUUAAAAACAGCAGUUUCCAAACUGAGCAGGCAAAAACACCUGUAAACGGUAAUAACAUAAUACCUCCGUAUUUGGGGAGGCAAAGACUUUUGGAAGGCAAUUUGCUUUGAUAACAAACCUAAUGGAAUCCAUGAUGAGCUUUCCAUCAGGCUUGUAGGAAGUGACCAACCAUAACCCCAUCCGUAAAAGCUGGCUUGCCAAGAGAGUGCAAAGAGGUACAAAGUUUUGAUGUCUCUUCUUGGCCCCUAUUUAAGACCCAGUAAGGAGUAGGGUAAUUUGUCCAUUAUGGUGGGAAGAACCAGUUCACACCAAGAUUGUGGUAAGUCUAGAUUCAUUCUUCUAAGACAGAUUCACUAAGAAGGCAGCCCCUCAAACACACCUGCCUGUUUUGCCACCUCCCCCAGGCAUAGAGGCAGAACAGCUGCAGACCACCAGGGGUCAGGAGGCCAUGCAUGAAAUGGCUUGCUGAAUAGGAGCAAGAGCUGACUGAGCACCUAUCUAGUACUUUGCCUCUCUGGGGGAGGCAGGAGAGGGUUGUGAGGAGGCAAACACCCCAGCCUAGAAGAAUCCAGUCAGAAAUCAAGAUGGUUCCCAUGGGUGGCAGGCACUCCCCCUAGCCUGUUCAGAGCUGCAUCUUUGUCCUUCUAGACUCAGGUACUAGGCCCUGGUGCUAGCUGUGGCUUAAGAAGACCUGAUUCUGGGCGAGAGCCCUGGCCAGCCCCCAUUCAAUUCCCUGUGAACUGUUGAAAAGGCUGGAUGGAGGGACAAAGCAAAAUCCUUAUGCAAGACAAAACAGUGGGGUGGGGACAGGAAUGGGGACAAAUUAAAUGAUAGAGGAGGAAACAAUUGGACAAAUGCAGAAUGAGGGAUAUUCUGUCUCAGACCACCAAGUACCCUGGUCUCUUGAAAAAAGUCAAUGUCGUAAAAGAGAAUAGGUGGAAGGAACAGAGGCUAAAGAAACCUAAUAAUGAAAUCCAAUUAAUGAAUUUUAAUUUGAUCACAAGGGGAUGGUUAGAGCUAUCAAAGGCAUGGGGACAAUUUGGGGACAUCUGAAUAUGGGGCUAUGAGGAAAUUAUUGUUGAUUUCCUUAGGUGUGAUAACAAUGUAGUGGUUAUGGAAGAGAAUGUCCUUAUUAUUACGAGAAAUAUGAACACGGAGUAAAACGUGACACAGGAACUUAAUUUCAAGGUUCCACAAGGCAUAGAGAAUGAGAAAGAAAAUAUGACAAGAGGUUAACUGCCCUACCAAGCAGCGGGUACUCGAUUAUCACUGUACCAUUAUCUUCAACUUUUGUGUUUGAUAUUUUUCUAAAUAAAACGUUGGAGGGAAAGUGCCUCAAUACCACCUAGCCACCCUUUAAACAGGGUUAAAUCUAGUUCAAGAGGUACUUACUGGGACCACCAAAUUUCCAUUAUCCAUAGUUAAAAUCACAAGGAUCAUGACUGGAUCCCUUAGGAUCCAAGAGUCAUUCUAUGCUCAAAAGCAGCAAAACUCCUUCCACCUCAAAGCCAGAGUCAAGUCUACUGUCUAAAACUGAGCCAGAUUAGGAAGAAUUAGAGAAUUGUGGUUACCUCUAGGCAGAGGAAAUGGGUGGCUGGGAAACAGGCAUGGGAGAGAGUUACUGAGAAACUGGGGGUCACCCUACUGGCCAGAGAGUAAAUAUUUUAAGCUUCAUGGGCAACCAUACUGUGUCUCUUCGCACAUUUUUUUUUUUUGCUGAGGUAGAGUCACCCUGAGCUAACAUCUGUUGCCAAUCUUUCUCUUUUUGGAGCUGCCACCACAGCAUGACCACUGACAGAUUACUGGUGUAGGUCGACGCUU